rnacentral:lncRNA from 1 species
UAUAGAUGAGAAAAUUCAAGCAUGAAGAAGUUAAGUAAUUUACCCAUGGUUGCCAGAUGGAAAGUAGCUGAAUUGGGAUAAAAUAUAACAUGAUACAAGAUAUUCCAUGCCGCGGAGACUAGCUGGAUGUAGAAGAGACUCCCUGUGACACCUGCCUCCCGUCCAUAAAAUACUCAUCCUUCUCUCAAGAAGAAAUCAGUGUGAAAGCAGCCCAGUGAGCUUCCUGAGGCGUGAGCCCUGGUAAACAGACUGGUGUCCGUCAGUCUUGUGCAUUGAG